AGCAACAAAGACGUGAAGAAGCAGCGAAGUUUCGCUCAUUCCCAUUCGGCUAUGAGGUGCGAAGGAAGGAGGUCUGAUAGGGAGUCCGGGCGUCGCAAGCAGCGGUAGCACCAAAGACGAACCUUCGGAGCUCUAUGGUCGAUGGCAACAACAGAGAAAGAAAACGAGGGGAAAGGGGGUCUCCGGUGAGGUGUCGCGAGCAGCAGCAGUGACGAAGACGAGGUCUUCGCUGGGGUUUGCUCGACGGAAGAAGAAGGGGAGGGUGUGAGGGGUGGGUCGUCGGUCUCAGUGGGUGUUGCGAUGAGGCCAUUUGCGAUCGGUGGUUGAAAAGGGAGGCACCUUCGGUGCUUCGCUGGACCGAAGAGGGAAAAAAAUGGAAGCAGCAGGGGUGGGGCUGCUGCUUCGAUUGGUAGCAGGUAAGUGGAUGGGAGGGUCUACUCCGGUAGCUCCCCUGUUCUUCUUCUUUCUUUCUUUUUUUUGUUUGUUUUGAUAGAACUAACGAAGGGAAUGAAUGUUUGGGUGUGUUUGAUAGGGAAUCGAUGGGUGUUUGGGUUGGGGCUUGGUCAUCGAAACAGGAAGGGACAAAGGUGGAUACUAAUGUUUCUGGUCCAAUGGCGAAAAAAAGAAGGUAGCAGGGGGUGUUUCUCGUAGCGAUCGAUGAAGGAAUAAGGCAGCAGCAAAAACGAUUCUUAGGGGUUUUUGGAGGGUUCGAUUGACAGCAAGGGAGCUGUGGUUUUACUGUCUUCACCGAGGGAAAGAUGGGUGAAGGGAGCUCUUUUAUUUCACAUUUAACUUGUAAUUGUAUAUAUAAAAUUUGAUCCCUCAGAUUUGAUUUUAUUUUAACGUGAUUUUUGGUGUAAAAUUUAUAAGUUAGGAUUUGAUUUGAUUUUAACUUGAUCUUUGGCUGUACAAUUUAGAUGGUAGUAGGAAAUAUACAUCCACAGUGUAAGUGUAAGUUGGUGAAUCAUUUUGAAUGCUUGUGUAAAUGAUGAUCGAGCAUGGAAAGAAAAGCAACUUGUCAUUCUUAAGUAUCAUUUAGACUUCUAAUCAGGGCCGGCCAAAGCCCAGGGUGAGCUGGGCCAUGGCCCAGGGCAACAAAUCUUAAUGGAGCAUCAUUUUUUAAGGUCUUUUAUAGGUAUUGUUAUAUUUGGGCCAUAUUUGAUCCAGUAGUAGGUUCAGUCCACCUCAAAGAAGAGUAGCCGGAAGCCAAGAAGCGCUUAAUGUCGAGACCUAAUUAGGCGUGAACUAAAAAAACGAUUUAUCUGACUUCUUGAUAUAAGCACCAUACAUGUCUAAUAAUUGAAGAUGAAGAAGACGAGGCGCCUGGUUCUGGAGAAAUAUGAUCGAUGAUUAACUUCCUUAUGUCUGAAUCGUUUCUUCUAGUAUCCUUUUAUUCUCCUAAAUAUUUUCUUCUAAUUUCCUGUUAAUCCUUUCAAAUUUUAAGAACAUUGUGAAUUGCUUAAGUUUCAAACGGUCCUCCAAUGCUCUAAUCUCUAAUCAGUGUCCUGAAGGGGUGAUUGAAUUAAUCGGUCCUCCUAAAGACCUAAUCAAGUAAGUCUUUUCUAGUGUUUGAAAUUUAUGCAUAACCUACUUGUAGUUGCUAAAAUCUGAUAGUGCUUAUUGAUUAAAAAUUUUGAAAUUUUAGUUUUCUUAUAUAGCUUAGUGGUGGAGUGAAGUAAUUGAUCAAAGUUGUAGUCUUCUUGAUCCAAAAUUGCUAUAAGAUUCAUCAAUUUUUUAGGUAACUUUGUUCUUCAAUUUCUUUUGACUUUUAUAGUUUUAUAAGGCUUUCUGCAAUAACAUUUCUUAAAUUCCUGAUGUAGUUUUUUUUUUUUAAUUUUUGAUUAAUCUGAUAUAUGUCGAAUUUUGUUUGAAAAUAUGAUAUGUAAAUUCCGAUUUUGAAAAGUUUAUAUGUGAAUUUGGUUUUGAAUUUCAAAUAUGUGAAUUUUGAUUUUAAAUAACAAAUGUGUUUUUGAUUUCUGAAUAAUCUGAUGCACAUGAAUACCUGAUGUAUCCUAAAAUCUGAUAAGUUAUUUUAAUCUCUAAAAUUUUGUUGUAUCAGAUUUCUGAAAAUCUAAUGUAUCAUAUUUUUGAAAAAUCUGAUAUGUAAAUUCUUAAAUUGAAAUUAUGAUAUUGAAAAGAGAUGUGUUCUUGAUUUAUGUUUAAUAUGAUGUGGUAUUUUGGAAUAAUCCAAUUAGUUAUUUUAAUUUCUGAAAAUCUGAUGUAUCAAAUUUCUAAAAUUAUCAUUUCAAUUUAAGUUUUGAAAUUAUGAAAUGUUAAUUCCGAAUUUCUGAUACCAUUUUAUGAUUUUGUUUAGGUUGUCAGAUUGAGAUUAUGGAUAGCCAACUUCAGCUUGUAUCAUUCUUUGGUUUUACUAUAUCUUUGUUUAGGUUGUCAGAUUGAGAUUAUGCAAAUGAAAUGGACAUGUAUCCCAAUAUGUUGGUAGCAUAUAAUCUAUUUUUGUUGGUACCAGUCAUAGUUGCUUCAGCAAAAAGAAAUUUUUUUCGCACUUAAAGUUAUUAAAAUUAUAUCUUUGAAGGACUAUCACCCAAUAAAGAUUAAACGGAUUAGCAAUUAUGAGUAUGAAAAAUCAAUUUCUGCUAAGUCUUGAUUAUCAUAAAAUAAGAUAUGGUUUUGCUUCAAAAAAUGCAUAGAGGCAUUGUUUUAGAUAAGUAUUUGUAUGUUUUUGUUUGUAUAACCUUGAUUUAGUUUGUGUAUAAAAUUUAUUUCACUUUUUCUAUAUAUGUAAUUUUUUUAAUAUAUAAGGGCAUUAAUAUAGUAUCUUGCCCCGGGCAUUGAAAAUCAAUGGACCGGCCCUGCUUCUAAUAGAAUUCUAGUCAACUGUAUCAUUUAGACUUCUAAUAGAAUUCUAGUCAACCGGUGAUUGUUUGAGAUUUUAAGAAAUCAUUUAUACCCAUUUUCCCAUAUACUUUUAAUAUUAAUUAAUUUUAUUUGUGUAAGGAUUAUAUAGAAAACUCAAGAAUUUCAUGUAAGGAGAAAUCACAUUUAUUAUACAUGAUUAAUUUGGAUCAUUUGAAGUCGUAUAAGACAGUAUAUACAUAUAUAUAUAUAUAUAUAGAGAGAGAGAGAGAGAGAGAUAGGUUCAAGUAUUUAAAGUAAUUAUUGUGUUAUUGUAUGCAUAAAUAUGGGCCAAUUAAAAUUUAAAAUAUAAAUAAAUAAUUAAAUAAAUAAAAAAUGGUAAUUAGGUAAUUUUAUAAACAACUUCCCCAAAUAUUUUUCUAUAAUUAUGCUAGUUGAUUUUAACCUAAUUUAUCUCCUUUUAAUUACCACCGACAUCACUUUGAAAAACCCUCCGUAGGAUUCGAUCGAAAGUGAACAAGAUCGACUUCGUCUUCGUCUUCAUCUGAUCAGAAAGGAAAGACGAACAGAAGCAGGUAGCGACUAGGUGAUCAGUGGUGGCUACUGUCAAUAGCGGUAGAGUAUCGUCAUCGUCUUCGCCGAUUGAAAAUCUCGCCAUCUUAAUCACACUUUCAACUCUCCUACUGGGGAUCCAUCAUUUAUCUGAUUUUUCACACGCAACCGUAUUAUUUUACACUUCCGAUUUAACCCUAUCAGAGGAGAGUGGAUUCUCGGCCUCGCUUAUAAAAAUUGAUUGAAUCGGAUUGGUUCCAGUCGACAGGCAGUGAGAGUGGAAGAAUUGCUUGAGGAUCAAUGUUUUGUGAUUUUGAGAAGUUAGUCGGUGGAGGAAAUAUGAAGCAGGGCAGGCGGAGGCAAUUAAUUGGAGGAAAAUAGCGGCCGGUCGGAGGAGUGCCACGUAAAACGGCUUGAAACUGCCGCCGACUCAAUAUCAGGUACUAUAUAUNNNNNNNNNNNNNNNNNNNNNNNNNNNNNNNUAUAUAUAUAUAUAUAUAUAUAUAUAAAUUUUACAUUAGCAAAUCAAAAAUGAUUUUGGAUAAUGGAAGCUAGCAGUAAACUGUUUUAUAAGUAAAAAAAAUGGUGAAUGAAUCGUUAUACAGAUCAAGAAGAGAUAAGCAUAAAGCAAGUGAAGCACUAGAAACCUGAUUAUUCAACUUAGAUAAAGCACUAGAAACUAGUUAUUGUUGGUUCAUUUUUUGUUUCUUUUUCGUUGUUGGUUGCUAUGGUUUUAUGUGGCAGAUAAUUUUGUCAGUUGGUAUGUAGUGUAUUCAAUGGAUGAUAUUUGUGAGAUUCCAAUUUUAUUGGAAUGGAAUCAUGAAUUUCAAUUCUGUUGGAAUGGAAUCAUGAACUCUAAUUCUGUUGGAAUGAAGUAUGGAUAUUUUCUCACUGAUUUAUGUAUGUUCUACAAUUUUUGGUUAUUGAUUUUGGUGCAAUUCACAAGUCCACAUGUUUUUCCAAAGGAAUUUAGUUUUUUAUUUUUCAUUUGCUAAUGCAUUAUUGGAAUUUAAACUACAAUUUGGUUUUGUUUUCACAGAAAUUGAUGCUUAGAACGGACCACAAAAUUGAAAGUGAUUCUAAGCAACAUUAUUAUUUUAGAAUGUAUUAGUGUCAUUGUUAGAUUUUGAUGUUUUCUUUCCCGUUUUGAAAGUUUUUUCUGUUUUAUUCUUUAACAAUAAAUAUAAUUCUUAACAAUUGUUAUCCGUAUUCUAUAAGAAAUAAUGUUUUUUUUGUUUUUAUUAUUCAAUUGAUUGUUCAAGAAUUUGUUAUUCUACAAAAAGUGUCUAAAGUCGUGAUCAAGAAAUAGGUUCAAGAAUAUUUUUAUUAUUUAUGGUUCAAGAAUAUUUUUUUUGAAUAUACUCAUAAACAUAUUCUGUCAGAAUGUCCGAAUUAAAAGAAUUAUAAUUCGUAAAAUUGGAUUUUAAAAAUUAAUAGAAUCUAUGAUCCCUUAAAAUAUGUAAUUUUCCUUUAUUAAAUCUAUAUUAAUUGUCUAAAAUACCUUUGUAAUUAAUUUAGAUGAUAUUUUUCAAUUAUAUUUAAUUUAAUAAUAUAUAUUAAUCACUUUCUUAAAAUAAGUAAAAUUGAUUGGCUCAUAUUUAUGCAUACAAUAACACAAUAAUUACUUUAAAUAAAAUAAUCAGAGUANNNNNNNNNNNNNNNNNNNNNNNNNNUUGCGUAGAAACACAUAUAUAGUUGAAUUAUUUACAAAUAUAUGUUUUUUAAAUAUAACAAUAAUUUUGUUAUUAAAAUUGAUAUAAUAACUUGUAUACUAAAUUGAUAUAAUAUAUUGAUUAUUUUGAAUUAUAUGAUAAUAUAUACAUAUAUUAUAACUACAUAAUCUCAACCGUUUGAAUGACUUCUACCCACGAGUUACUCAUGAAUGAAUUUAAAUAUAAUAUAUGGUUUAAUGUUAAUUAUAGUUGUUGUUAUUGUUAAUUAGUUUUUUGAAAUUUUUUUGCUUAACGUUUUAUUUUCUAUCAUUAUAAUUAUUUAAAACAUCAAACAUUGUUUUUGAUUUUAAAUGUAACAAUAUAAUCAUCUAUAUAGAAUUAUUUUUAACUAUUGUUAUUGUAAGUUAUUUUAAGCUACUUAUUUAAAAACUUUUAACGAUUAUAAAAAUAUCUUUAGGAAAUAUUUUAGAUAAAUUGAGAUUAUAAUUUAGUUUUUGCAUUUAACACUACAAUUUAUCACUUUUAACUAUUCACAAAAUAUUCAUUGGGUUUUUUAAAUGGAACUGAAAUUUAUAUUUAAGUUGAGACUGUAAUGUUAUAUUUAAAUUAACAAUUUAAGUAUUUUGUUCAAACUGUUCAAAAAUUGUAGCUUUAAACUGAUAAUGAUUUACAUACAACAACAUAUUAAAUGUAAUAAAUUAAGUAUAAUAUGUUAAAAGUUAAAGAUAUAACUUUGUAAGUAGAAGUAAAUAUAUUAUUUUAAUAUUGAAAUUUUGUUUAUUUAUGAUUACACUUUAGGUUUAAUAUUUAUUUAACAUUAUUAACCAACUUAUAAUCAUUAUUAUAAAGACGUUAUAAUUUAUCAAUUUUAACUAUUUAAAAAAAAUAUUCUUUGGGUUGUUUAAGUUAACUAAAAUUUAUAUUUAAAUUGAUACUGUAAUGUUAUAUGUAAAUUUAUAAUUUAAGUAUUUUAUACAAAUUUUUCAAAAGUUGUAGCUUUAAAAUGAUAAUGGUUUACAUCCAACAAUAUAUUAAAACUAAUAAAUUAAGUAUAAUAUGUUAAAAGUUAAAAACAUAACUUUAUAAGUAGAAGUAAAAAUAUUCUUUUAAUAUUGAGAUUUAGUUUAUAUAUGAUUACACUUUAGGUUUGAUAUUUAUUUAAUCUUAUUAACCAACUUAUAAUCAUUAUUAGAAAAAAACUGAAAAGUCAUUGGAGUUUCUAAUGAAUGUAGUGAACGAAAAAAAUUCUUCCUUUAUAUAUAUACUAGACGAAUGCCCGCGCGUUGCGCAGAAGCAUCUACAUAGUUGAAAUAUUUACAAAUAUAUGUUUUUUUAAAUAUAACAAUAAUGUUGUGGUUAAAUUUGAUAUAAUAAUUUGUAUACUAAGUUGAUAUAAUAUAUUGAUUAUUUUAAAUUAUAUGAUAAUAUAUACAUUUAUUAAAACUGCACAAUCUCAAUCUUUUGAAUGACCUCUACCCGCGGAUUACUCAUAAAUAAAAUUAAAUAUAAUACAUGGUUUAAUGUUACUUAUAGUUGUUGUUAUUGUUAAUUAAUUUUUUAUAAUUUAUUUGGUUAGCGUUUUAAUUUCUAUCAUUGUAAUUAUUUAAAACAUCAAACAAUUUAUUUUUUAUUUUAAAGGUAACUAUAUAAUCAUUUGUAUAGAGUUAUUUUUAACUAUUGUUAUUGUAAGUUAUUUUACGCUAUUUAUUUAAAAACUUUUAACGAUUAUAAAAAUAUUUUUAAGGAAUAUUUUAGUUAAAUUCAUAUUACAAUUUAGUUUUUGCAUUUAGCAGUACAAUUUAUCACUUUUAAUUAUUCACAAAAUAUUUUUUUUGGGUUUUUUAAGUGGAAAUGAGAUUUAUAUUGAUGUUAACCCUAUAAUGUUUUAUUUAAAUUAAGAAUUUAAGUAUUUUGUCAAAACUGUUCAAAAGUUGUAGCUUUAAACUGAUAAUGGUUUACAUACAACAACAUAUUAAAUCUAAUAAAUUAAGUAUAAUAUGUUAAAAGUUAAAGACGUAACUUAGUUUAAUAUUGAAAUUUAGUUUAUUUAUGAUUACAUUUAGGUUUGAUACUUAUUUAACUUUAUUAACCAACUUAUAAUAAUUAUUAGAAAGACACUAUCAUUUAUCACUUUUAACUAUUUACAAAAUAUUUUUUAGGUUGCUUAAGUUGAACUAAAUUUUUUAUUUAAGUUGAUCAUAUAAGGUUAUAUUGAAAUUAACAAUUUAAAUAUUUUAUGCAAAUUGUUCAAAAGUUGUAGCUUUAAAAUGAUAAUGGUUUACAUACAACAACAUAUUAUACCUAAUAAAUUAAGUAUAAUAUGUUAAAAGUUAAAAACAUAAUUUUAUAAGUAGAAGAAAAUAUUUUCUUUUUAAUAUUGAAAUUUAGUUUAUAUAUGAUUAUACUUUAGGUUUUAUAUUUAUUUAACCUUAUUAACCAAUUUAUAAUCAUUAUUAGAAAGAAAUUGAAAAGUCAUGGGAGUUUCAAAUGAAUGUGGUCAAAGGAAAAAUGCUUCCUUUAUAAGUAUACUAGACGAAUUCUCGCGCGUUGCGCAGCGAAAAUUAAAAAUAUAUUGUUAAAAUAUUGAAAAAUAUAUGUUUAAAAUGGUUAUGUUAUUGACAUUAACUUUGAGAUAAUAUUUUUACACUAAUUUAUAUAUAUANNNNNNNNNNNNNNNNNNNNNNNNNNNNNNNNNNNNNNNNNNNNNNNNNNNNNNNNNNNNNNNNNNNNNNNNNNNNNNNNNNNNNNNNNNNNNNUUUUUUUUUUUUUUUGAUUGCUGCACAGUAAUGAAUAGAAUCUAAUUGGGUGUUUGGGCCUUUGGGAUUAAAUUUUUGACAGAAAAUCGAUUGAAUUAAGUUAGAUUUUGGGUUUGAUUGUUUGACAUAAAUCGAUGGAUGAAAUUUGUGUUUGGGUUUUGCCUUUGAUUGCAGGGAAAGAAGAUAGAUCAACACAAGGAUAUCUCGGGCGUUUGGUUUUGGUUCCUGGCUAAAAAUCAAAGAAGAACGAAGAACAUUAACAAAAGAUCUUCAAGGGUGUUUUGAUUUUGAUUGUUUUGAUAGACACCGAUAGGGGAAAUGGGUGUUUGAGUUAGGCUUUGGUCACCUAAACAGGAAGGGACUGACGUGGGGUUUGAUGUUCUUAGUCCAUUUUUGAGAUUGGAUCGAUGAUUAUAAAUAUAGAAUACCAUACUUGUAUAGAAGGAGUGCACGGUUCAAUUUGGAAAGGGAAAGCAAACACUCAAUUAG
rnacentral:lncRNA from 1 species